AGGCCAAACUAAUAGACAUUCGGCGUAAAGGGUGUUUUAGAGAUAAAAUAAUUAAUAAAGCUAAACCUUAACUAAGCUGUAAAAAGCCCCAGUUACUGUAAAGCAAAUAACGAAAGUAGCUUUAAAAAAUCUGACCACACGAUAGCUAAGACCCAAACUGGGAUUAGAUACCCCACUAUGCUUAGCCAUAAACAUAAAAAAUUAUAAACAAAAUUAUUCGCCAGAGUACUACCAGCAAAGGCUAGAAACUCAAAGGACUUGGCGGUGCCUUAAAUCCAUCUAGAGGAGCCUGUUCUAUAAUCGAUAAACCCCGAUAUACCUCACCAACCCUUGCCAAAU
rnacentral:rRNA from 1 species